UGGUUUUAAAGGGGAGGCCGGUCAGAUUCUCCGACUAAAAGAAAAAAGGCUUUUCCUUCUUAACCGUGCAAAGGUAGCGUAAUCACUUGUCUUUUAAUUAAGGGACCCGUAUGAAUGACAAAACGAGGGCUCAACUGUCUCCUUCUUUUAGUCAAUGAAAUUGAUCUCCCCGUGCAGAAAGCGGGGAUUCAUUCAUAAGACGAGAAGACCUAUGAAGCUUUAGACAAUCGGACAUACCCUGUUAAUACACCCCCAUAAAAGGGCCAAAACCUACCCACCCAUGUCCCCGAUUUUAUGUUGGGGCGNACCCCGGGGGAACAAAAACCCCCCACGUGGAAUAGUAGCAUCCGCUAUCCACAACCGAGAGCCACGACUCCAAAAACCAGAACCUCUGGACCACAAAUAUGACCCGGCAAUGCCGAUCAACGGAACAAGUUACUCUAGGGAUAACAGCGCAAUCCCCUUUUUAGAGGCCGCAUCACAAGGGGGUUUACGACCUCGAUGUUGGAUCAGGACAUCCUANUGGUGCAGCCGCUAUUAAGGGUUCGCUUGUUCAACGAUUAAAGUCCUACGUGAUCUGAGUUUCAGAA
rnacentral:rRNA from 1 species